rnacentral:rRNA from 1 species
CAGCAGGCGCGCAAUUACCCACUCCCGGCACGGGGAGGUAGUGACGAAAAAUAACGAUACGGGACUCAUCCGAGGCCCCGUAAUCGGAAUGAGUAUACUCUAAAUCCUUAUACGAGUAUCAAUUGGAGGGCAAGUCUGGUGCCAGCAGCCGCGGUAAUUCCAGCUCCAAUAGCGUAUAUUAAAGUUGUUGCGGUUAAAAAGCUCGUAGUUGGAUCUGUGUCCCGCGCCGUCGGUUCACCGCCUGUCGGUGUUCAACUGGCGUGUUUGCGGGACGUCCUGCCGGUGGCGGUCCGGUUCCCGGAGGGUACGUAGGGGUCGUCCUUGCUCAGCUUGCGUCGUCCCCSAAGGCCUUCCCGGUGUUUCCGGCCGCCUUUUCGAUCCCGUCGCGGUGCUCUUUACCGAGUGUCGAGGCGGGCCGGCACGUUUACUUUGAACAAAUUAGAGUGCUUUAAGCAGGCCCUGUCCCGCCUGUAUGUUGUGUGCAUGGAAUAAUGGAAUAGGACCUCGGUUCUAUUUUGUUGGUUUUCGGAAUCUGAGGUAAUGAUCAAUGGGGACAGGCGGGGGCAUUCGUAUUGCGACGUUAGAGGUGAAAUUCUUGGAUCGUCGCAAGACGGACCGAAGCGAAAGCAUUUGCCAAGUAUGUUCUCGUCGAUCAAGAACGAAAGUUAGAGGUUCGAAGGCGAUCAGAUACCGCCCUAGUUCUAACCAUAAACUAUGCCUGCCAGCGAUCCGCCGAAGUUCCUCCGAUGACUCGGCGGGCAGCUUCCGGGAAACCAGAGCUUUUGGGUUCCGGGGGAAGUAUGGUUGCAAAGCUGAAACUUAAAGGAAUUGACGGAAGGGCACCACCAGGAGUGGAGCCUGCGGCUUAAUUUGACUCAACACGGGAAAACUCACCAGGCCCGGACACCGGAAGGAUUGACAGAUUGAGAGCUCUUUCUUGAUUCGGUGGGUGGUGGUGCAUGGCCGUUCUUAGUUGGUGGAGCGAUUUGUCUGGUUAAUUCCGAUAACGAACGAGACUCUAGCCUACUAACUAGGCGUACCCGGUAUCCACAAUCGUGCUACCGGCGAUCAAAUUUCUUCUUAGAGGGACAGGCGGCUUCUAGCCGCACGAGACUGAGCAAUAACAGGUCUGUGAUGCCCUUAGAUGUCCUGGGCCGCACGCGCGCUACACUGAAGGAAUCAGCGUGUCUUCCCUGUCCGAAAGGACCGGGUAACCCGCUGAACCUCCUUUGUGCUAGGGAUUGGGGCUUGCAAUUGUUCCCCAUGAACGAGGAAUUCCCAGUAAGCGCGAGUCAUAAGCUCGCGUUGAUUACGUCCCUGCCCUUUGUACACACCGCCCGUCGCUACUACCGAUUGAAUGAUUUAGUGAGGUCUUCGGACUGGUGCGCGGAGGCCGCUCCCGCGGUCUCCGAUGUUGCCGGAAAGAUGACCAAACUUGAUCANUUAGAGGAAGUAAAAGUCGUAACAAGGUUUCC